rnacentral:rRNA from 1 species
UCUCUCCGAAUCUGCGAACGGCUCCGCAAACCAGUUGUAACCCACGGCAAGCCCGCCCGUGGAACCCGGGCCGGGUCCUCGCGGAUCCGCCCGGGGGAAACGGGCGACAAGGCUACCCCUGGUAAUCCUGUGGCUAAUACUCGACCAUACGACCCGUAGCCCGCGACCCUCGUCGUCCGACCGCUUGUGGCGGGGGACGGGGAAAUCGCGGUGCGGGGAGUGUGCGGACAUUAACCAAUAGCGAUGGGGCACACCUUACAAACCCUACCAGGAAAGAACGCACGCUCAAACCGCGGUCAAAAAGGGAUGCGCGGUGGACACCAUCUCUCUCUGUGCUAGGACUUCCUCCAUUCCUUGCCUUCGGGCGGAGGGUGGCCGGUCCCAUCGGGGGGGAGAUCGGGAGAAACCGCAUCCUCGCGGGCCUUGCAGCGGGCUUCUGACCUAUCAACUGUACAGCAGUGCAAGGGACGUGCUGUGGUGACAACGGGUACAGAGGAUCAGGGUUCGAUCCUGGAGAGUGGGCCUGAGAGAUC